rnacentral:rRNA from 1 species
CGGCGGACGGGUGAGUAACGCGUGGGUAACCUGCCUCAUACAGGGGGAUAACAGUUGGAAACGGCUGCUAAUACCGCAUAAGCGCGCAGUACCGCAUGGUACGGUGUGAAAAACUCCGGUGGUAUGAGAUGGACCCGCGUCUGAUUAGGUAGUUGGUGGGGUAACGGCCUACCAAGCCGACGAUCAGUAGCCGACCUGAGAGGGUGACCGGCCACAUUGGGACUGAGACACGGCCCAA